AACAUAAGCGAAAGGAACAAAAAGAGGAGUGAGGAAUGGGUGGUUAUUGUGUUGUUGUAGUGAAGGAAACAAAGAGGUAAUGCAGUGGAAUGGAAGCACGCUCUUGUUUCGCUUCACUACACCACACA
rnacentral:ribozyme from 1 species